rnacentral:pre_miRNA from 1 species
UCAGGAUACCUGAAGAGAGGUUUCCUGGGUCUCUGUUCCUCCAUAAGGAUGGACCACACCUGGUCAACCUCUUUUUCCCCUAUCAGAUCC